rnacentral:rRNA from 1 species
AUUGAACGCUGGCGGCGGGCCUAACACAUGCAAGUCGAGCGGAUGAAGGGAGCUUGCUCCUGGAUUCAGCGGCGGACGGGUGAGUAAUGCCUAGGAAUCUGCCUGGUAGUGGGGGAUAACGUCCGGAAACGGGCGCUAAUACCGCAUACGUCCUGAUGGAGAAAGUGGGGGAUCUUUGGACCUCACGCUAUCAGAUGAGCCUAGGUCGGAUUAGCUAGUUGGUUGGGUAAAGGCCUACCAAGGCGACGAUCCGUAACUGGUCUGAGAGGAUGAGCAGUCACACUGGAACUGAGACACGGUCCAGACUCCUACGGGAGGCCGCAGUGGGGAAUAUUGGGCAACGGGCGAAAGCCUGAUCCAGCCAGGCCGCGUGUGUGAAGAAGGUCUUCGGAUUGUAAAGCACUUUAAGUUGGGAGGAAGGGCAGUAAGUUAAUACCUUGCUGUUUUGACGUUACCAACAGAAUAAGCACCGGCUAACUUCGUG